GAUGAAGAACGCAGCGAAAUGCGAUACGUAAUGUGAAUUGCAGAAUUCAGUGAAUCAUCGAAUCUUUGAACGCAUAUUGCGCUCUCUGGUAUUCCGGAGAGCAUGCUUGUUUGAGUAUCAGUAAACACCUCAACUUCCAUAUCUUUUUUGAAAUGGGAGUUGGACUUGAGUGAUCCCAACGCUUUUCCUCACCGAAAAGUGCCGGGUUACUUGAAAUGCAGGUGCAGCUGGACUUUUCUCUGAGCUAUAAGCAUAUCUAUUUAGUCUGCCUAAAAAACAGAUUAUUACCUUUGCUGCAGCUAACAUAAAGGAGAUUAGUUCUUGUGCUGACUGAUGCAGGAUUCACAAAGACAGGCUUCGGCCGACUUUGUAAACUCGAUCUCAAAUCAAGUAAGACUACCCGCUGAACUUAAGCAUAUCAAUAAGCGGAGGA
rnacentral:misc_RNA from 1 species